AUUGAACGCUGGCGGCAGGCUUAACACAUGCAAGUCGAGCGGGGAAAGGUAGCUUGCUACCUGACCUAGCGGCGGACGGGUGAGUAAUGCUUAGGAAUCUGCCUAUUAGUGGGGGACAACAUUCCGAAAGGAAUGCUAAUACCGCAUACGCCCUACGGGGGAAAGCAGGGGAUCUUCGGACCUUGCGUUAAUAGAUGAGCCUAAGUCAGAUUAGCUAGUUGGUGGGGUAAAGGCCUACCAAGGCGACGAUCUGUAGCGGGUCUGAGAGGAUGAUCCGCCACACUGGGACUGAGACACGGCCCAGACUCCUACGGGAGGCAGCAGUGGGGAAUAUUGGACAAUGGGCGAAAGCCUGAUCCAGCCAUGCCGCGUGUGUGAAGAAGGCCUUUUGGUUGUAAAGCACUUUAAGCGAGGAGGAGGCUACUUGGAUUAAUACUCUAGGAUAGUGGACGUUACUCGCAGAAUAAGCACCGGCUAACUCUGUGCCAGCCGCCGCAGAACAC
rnacentral:rRNA from 1 species